GCCUGGGUGGCUCGGUCGGUUAAGCGUCUGACUUCAGCUCAGAUCAUGAUCUCACGGUCCGUGAGUUCGAGCCCCACGUCGGGCU
rnacentral:tRNA from 1 species